rnacentral:rRNA from 1 species
CAAGAGCGUAUGUAAAAGUUGUUGCAGUUAAAAAGCUCGUAGUUGAACCUUGGGUUUGGUUGGCCGGUCCGCUUUUUUGCGAGUACUGGAUUCAACCGAGCCUUUCCUUCUGGCUAACCAGUCGUUUCGGCGGCUGGCGAACCAGGAUUUUUACUUUGAGAAAAUUAGAGUGUUCAAAGCAGGCAUUAGCUUGAAUAUAUUAGCAUGGAAUAAUAGAAUAGGACGUUAUGGUUCUAUUUUGUUGGUUUCUAGGACCAUCGUAAUGAUUAAUAGGGGCGGUCGGGGGCAUCAGUAUUCAGUUGUCAGAGGUGAAAUUCUUGGAUUUACUGAAGACUAACUACUGCGAAAGCAUUUGCCAAGGACGUUUUCAUUAA